rnacentral:rRNA from 1 species
AGUGAACGCUGGCGGCAGGCCUAAUACAUGCAAGUCGAACGGCAGCACAGCAGAGCUUGCUCUGUGGGUGGCGAGUGGCGGACGGGUGAGGAAUACGUGGGAAUCUGCCCAGUCGUGGGGGAUAACGUAGGGAAACUUACGCUAAUACCGCAUGCGCCCUUCGGGGGAAAGCCGGGGACCUUCGGGCCUGGCGCGAUUGGAUGAGCCCACGUCGGAUUAGCUAGUUGGCGGGGUAAAGGCCCACCAAGGCGACGAUCCGUAGCUGGUCUGAGAGGAUGAUCAGCCACACUGGAACUGAGACACGGUCCAGACUCCUACGGGAGGCAGCAGUAGGGAAUAUUGGACAAUGGGCGCAAGCCUGAUCCAGCCAUGCCGCGUGAGUGAAGAAGGCCCUCGGGUUGUAAAGCUCUUUUUGUCCGGAAAGAAAAGCGCCGGGUUAAUACCCUGGUGUCCUGACGGUACCGGAAGAAUAAGCACCGGCUAACUUCGUGCCAGCAGCCGCGGUAAAGUA